rnacentral:rRNA from 1 species
GAUGAACGCUAGCUACAGGCUUAACACAUGCAAGUCGAGGGGAAACGGCAUCGAAAGCUUGCUUUUGAUGGGCGUCGACCGGCGCACGGGUGAGUAACGCGUAUCCAACCUGCCCAUCACUUGGGAAUAACCUUGCGAAAGUAAGACUAAUGCCCAAUGACAUCCCACGAAGGCAUCCGAAUGGGAUAAAAGAUUUAUCGGUGAUGGAUGGGGAUGCGUCUGAUUAGCUUGUUGGCGGGGUGACGGCACACCAAGGCAACGAUCAGUAGGGGUUCUGAGAGUAAGGCACCCCAGAAUGGAACUGAGACACAGUCCAAAAUGCUAGGGAGGGCAGGAGUGAGGAAUAGAGGUCGAGGAGCGAGGACGUGAAACAGCCAAGUAGCGUACAAAGGGACGGGCCUAUGGGAUGUAAGCUACUAUUAAAAGAGAAUAAAGUGGGUAACGUGUGACUUUUUGAAGGUACCUUAUGAAUAAGGACCGGCUAAUUCCGUG